rnacentral:rRNA from 1 species
GUAAUCUAUAAUUCCUUUAUAUAUAAUUUCACGAAACCAGACGAGCUAAAUUUAUUAUAAUAUUAGUAUAUUAAUUAGCGUAGUAUCGCUAAGUUUAUUAAAUUAAUUUAGGGGUGAUAGGCCUAUCAAGUCUAGUGAUAUCUUGAUGUUUAGGAAAUAUAUAUAGUAUAUUUUUCAAUAUAAAAAUGGUGAGGUUUUUAUAAAUCAAAAUUUUAAAAUUAAACAUAUUUGGAUGUUGUAAAAAAUACUAGCUUAUUUUAAUUAAUAUUGCUUAUUUUAAUAAUGUGAUUUAAGAUACUAAAUUUUACUAAUUAAUAUUUCUAGUAAUAAAAAUGAUUACAUUAGUACAUAUUUAUAUAUUUUUUAGGAACUCGGCCAACUUAAUUCUCGUCUGUUUAUCAAAAACAUAGCCUUAAGAAUUUAUUUAAGGUAAAACCUGCUCAAUGAAUUAUUAAAUAGCCGCAGUACCUUGACUGUGCAAAGGUAGCAUAAUCAGUUGGCUUAUAAUUGAAGUCUUGUAUGAAAGGGAAUUCGGGUAUUAGCUAUCUUAAGAAUACAAUAGGAAAUUACUAAUUAAGUGAAAAUUCUUAAUAAAAGAAAAAAGACGAGAAGACCCUAGAAAUUUUAUUAAUAUUUAAUUUUGUUGGGGCGACAAGGUAACAUAUAACUUACCUAUAAAAAUAGGAAACUAUUUAGUUGAGUAAAUAAAUUACUCUAGGGAUAACAGCAUAAUAUUUUAAAGUUUGUGACCUCGAUGUUGGACUAGGGAACUUAUUACUUAAAAGGUAAUAUGUCAAGCUCUGUUCGAGCUAUUUAUCCCUACAUGAUCUGAGUUCAGACCGG